GGAGAGAUGGCUGAGCGGUCGAAAGCGGCGGUCUUGAAAACCGUUGAGUCCUCUGGGCUCCGGGGGUUCGAAUCCCUCUCUCUCCG
rnacentral:tRNA from 1 species